rnacentral:lncRNA from 1 species
GUUCUUUUUCUCAACUUUUAGGUGUUAAAGGAAUUUACUCUUCAAAAACAAUUGAUCGUGCAACUCAUUUUUUGCAUCACUAUUCAAGCUACUUGGGUGCAAGGUAUGAAUUAUAGGUCUGAUUUUAUUUAAUUAAUUAGUUUUUUAAUAUUGUAGAAUGCAACUUGUAGAAAACUGUAAAACUUUUUCAUUCUAAUUGAUGUUGUCUUUGACAUGCAUAUUAGUUGGUCCAAUCCUUCGAGGAUGAUAAUAUUCUAUGCACUUCUUCCAUGUCCUGCUUGUUGAAUGCAUUUGAAAGGGAGUGUUGUUGGAAGGUUGCAGGCUGAGCAACAAAAGCAAGUGCAGGAUUUCCAGGUAACCAGAUUUUGUUCUUGAAUCUAAUCCUUGAUAAAUUCAUGAUUCAUGUCAUGGCCCUUUCUUUUUUUUUUUUGGGGGGGGGGGGGGAGGGGGGUGUUCACUUUUGCUGGGUUUAUUUCAUAGCUCUUGGAAUAGCUUAUUUGGUAAUGCACAAACGCCACCAGUGGAGAGUUUUAUGAAUUUGAAAUUUGGCUUUAAUACACUUCUGUUCUGCUUGGCUAUUACGUGUGUUUCUGAAUCCUAAUGUUAUGGUGCCCAAAGUGAUUGGUUCUAUUGCUUACAAACCAAACCUUACUGGAAAAAUAACAAUAAUUUGAAGGUAUUUAAAUGGGAGGAGCUAAAGGUUUUCUUUUCUUUUCUUGACAUCUGUUCUUGGGAGCCUUACGAAAUUGCAGUCAUCAUUUGUUUUAAAUGCCUUCUUUUGAUGCUGGUAUUAUUUUUGCUUCAUUUACAAUAGGAAGAGUUAAUGUAAGAGACCCCUUUUCUUUCUUUUGAGGAAAAUUAUGGCGUUCAGGUUUUCAAAUAUACUGUAUCAAUGGCAUUUCCAGUAACCAACCCUCUCCCUUAACCUCAUCAUGAACUGCAUGGCCAUAGUUUCACACCAACUUAAAUUCUAGCAAGUUGUAUUAUCUGAAUUCCACUUCUAGUUAGUUAUUGGAGGCUCAAGCUAGAAUUCAACUUUACUUUUACUACAGCAUUUUUGAAACUGACCUGUGUCGGUUUACUUAGGGAUGUACCAUUAUUUUCUGAGUAAAUGCAAUAACAAAUUGGCCAUCAGGAUCUUUUCUUCUUUUGUUGGAAUUGAAAUCGUUCAUCUGCAAAUUUGCUGCAUUUUACUACUCCAUUUUGAUGAUUUAUUAAAAUAUGACAUCCCCUUUAAUUCAUGCACACAGGAAAAGGUAUUGGAAAGAGCAAAAAGAGCCAAAGAGCAAGCGGCACGCGAGGCAUUGGAGGCACAAAGGCUGAUUCCAAAGUCUACUUCCCUAAGUACAUCUAUGGGCACAAAGGCUGAUACCAAUUCUUGUAUUAAAAAGGAAAUUCAUGGACAAAAUGUUGUUAUAAAAAGGAGCAAUAUAUAAUUUGGUACUUGUG